GCAGCCGGUGAGCUUCUUUCUUGGCUUCCUAUUUCCAGGGAGCUCCUCUGGGGAGGCCAACGCUCUCUUCUGGUUCCAGCUCGCCUGCAGGGGGCUCUGCUAAUCCUGCACCCACCAGCUGGUGAUGGGGAGCUGAACGCAGUCUGCUGCCACCGCCCCCUGGAAGAGGCCUGCUCCUGGGGUGCAGCCUGCUGUGCUGCGUGCAGCCUCCCCUCCCCAUGCUCCUUGUGCUGGACCCCAGGUUCCCGUGCCUGUGUCUGCACUUGGAGACAGGGACUCACAGAUGGCUGAUCAGCCUUCUGCUUCCUUCCCAGCGGGGCCUGCACCGUUCAUCCCCGAAGCUGUGAACUGUUCCCUCUGCCGUCUGCCACCCUGCCCUGGAGGCAGAUGAUUAUGGACAGAAAACCCUACACACUGUGAGCUACAUAAACCUUUCCUGCUUUAACUUAUGGACAAAGCUAAAUAACUUCCCCCAGCCAAGAUGGCAUCCACCAGGAUUCAGGGGCUGUGUUCUUGGUGUAGGUGGGAGCCACACACCCUGCUCCCGGGCAGGGACCAGGACAUGAGGACUUGUGUGAUGGCCACCAGUUUAAAGCCUGUGCAUUGAGCAAGAUUUGGCAGUCUAUCUUUCUGCAGUUAGAUUGAAAAUGAGCCCAAUUAUCAAGGCUCAUUCAAAAACCUGUAAGAAAAGUACCAUUGUUUGUAUUGCUUAUUAUUAUUUUUAGUCAACUUGACUAUACAGUUUGAUUUCUAACAUCACACUAACAUUGGUUUUGCCUCUGUCUUAGUUACUCUUCUCUUAUGGCUGAGAUAAAAUUCCUAGCACUCAAAGUUAAAGGAGGUAAAGUUUUUGUGGCUAACAGUUUAUAGAGGUUUCAGUCCAUAGCUGGCUGCCUUCAAGGAAGGGUAGCAUUGCAAUGGCAAAAUUAUAGGACAGCAAACUUAUAGGUGUUUUUUGGCAAAAGUUGAAAUCAGUUAGUGGCCUGUGGCUGUGCUCCUGCUGCCCGUCACAAGUUUGCCUGCUAAGUUCAGUGAGCUUUGAUCAUCUGCAUCCACCUACUUCUCCCAGAUAACGGGCUAGUUCAGCCUGACUGUAUUCAGCAGCAAUGUCUGUGUUUCCCACCUAAUAAUACAUGUGGCUUUCCCUACCUGCUUCAAGGAGUCUGGGAUAGAUUGGCCCAGCCAAGGAAACAUUUAACUCUACCUGCUCUACUCAAACCCCCUUCCCUCCUUUCCAGAAUCCUCCUGCCUUCUGCUUGACAACAUAUGACUCAAUUCAUGUAACCAAUCAUGUAAUAAUCUGCUAUCAGCCUGGUACUUCCUGUUUGCAAAGUGUAUUUAAAUUGGUUAAAAAUAAAGUUGCCUCCCAGGCUCCUUGGUGUAAACAGCCUUC